rnacentral:rRNA from 1 species
CCUACGGGUGGCAGCAGUGGGGAAUAUUGCACAAUGGGGGAAACCCUGAUGCAGCAACGCCGCGUGAGUGAAGAAGUACUUCGGGUUGUAAAGCUCUAUCAGCAGGGAAGAGAAUGACGGUACCUGUCUAAGAAGCUCUGUCCAACUACGGGACAGCAGGCGCGGUAAUACGGAGGGGGCAAGCGUUAUACGGAUUUCCUGGGUGUAAAGGGAACGUAGAGGGGUGUACAAGUCAGAAGUGAAAGGCCGUGGCUCAACCGCGGAACUGCAUUUGAAACUGGAAAGCUUGAGUACUGUAGAGGCAGGCGGAAUUCCUGGUGUAGCGGUGAAAUGCGUAGAUAUUAGGAGGAACACCGGUGGCGAAGGCGGCCUGCUGGACAGAAACUGACGUUGAGGCUCGAAAGCGUGGGGAGCAAACAGGAUUAGAUACCCUUGUAGUC